UACGGAGGAUGCGAGCGUUAUCCGGAUUUAUUGGGUUUAAAGGGUGCGUAGGCGGCUUUUAAGUCAUCGGUGAAAUUUUGCAGCUUAACUGUAACAGUGCCGUUGAUACUGGGGAGCUAGGAUUUGGUUGCUGUGGGUGGAAUGUGUGGUGUAGCGGUGAAAUGCUUAGAGAUCACACAGAAUAUCGAUUUCGAAGGCAGCUCACAAAGCCAAGAUUGACGCUGAGGCACGAAAGUGUGGGGAUCAAACAGGAUUAGA
rnacentral:rRNA from 1 species